rnacentral:rRNA from 1 species
UACAGAGGUUUCAAGCGUUGUUCGGAUUCAUUGGGUUUAAAGGGUGCGUAGGCGGAUUGAUAAGUCAGUGGUGAAAUCUCCAAGCUUAACUUGGAAACUGCCAUUGAUACUGUCGAUCUUGAAUAUGGUUGAUGUGGGCGGAAUAUGACAUGUAGCGGUGAAAUGCUUAGAUAUGUCAUAGAACACCGAUUGCGAAGGCAGCUCACAAAGCCAUUAUUGACGCUGAGGCACGAAAGUGCGGGGAGCAAACAGG